AGUCACACUUGACACUCCGACACGCAGUCGAAGCUCGCGAGACCAACGCCAAGCGGAGGCCGCCUCCGAUGAAUCCGUCCAUGGGGAAGCGCGGGGGCUCGUCCAGCCGUGCGACAGCGACAGCACCGGGCGCGUCCUCCUCCAACGCCGCCGGUCCGGCCUCCGAUGGCUCCAAUCCCGGUGCCACCACCGGUGGGAGGAAGCGGAAGGCCGCGGCGGCCCCUCGGAAGGCACAGGAUCACAGAACAUAUCACAUCGAGGUGUACUACGGGCACAAAAGAAGCAGCGAAGAGAUUUUUUGUAUGAGAGGAGAAGAUUUGAAUGCAUGCGGCCACAUAGUGGCGGAGCUGCCGCAGCCGUGGCCGAUGACAUUGGUGGAUGUGAAGCUCUGGAUCUUGAAACUGUUCUGGCUUCAUCCAGAGACACAAGAUCUCCAUAUCACGGGUUUUUUCAAAGAAUACUGCUACGACAUGAUCUCCAGUUUAUUCAUGGAAGAAGAUCCUGAAUGGUAUUUCGAAGCGAUGGACUGGGAGACCCAGUUUUUAUUUACUGACAAGUGUUGGACUUCCUUUGUCAAUAAAACGAAGAGAAAAUAUGCGAUUCAGAAGCUCGUGUUGUAUGCGGACUCCUGUGAACUCAAGCAUUAUGAUGUUCUGCUCAAAGCAGUACCUGAUGGUUACUCCUAACUGGCAACGGUUCUGCUGCCAAGUGAUGAUGAGAAUCUGUGGCACUAUCUAGAAGACCACGAGCUAACAAUGACAGUGAAGGAAAUCGCAGUAGAUUGUGCUGACAAGUAUGACAAGCAGGUCAGUCUCCCUGAGGUAUGGAGGGCAAAACAGAAAGCGUUGGAAUUCAGAUUUGGUACGUAUUAUGACUCAUACAACUAUGCCCCAAGGUUGCUUAAGAACAUAUUGUCUUCAAACCCAGGUAGUUUUCUUGACAUCAAGGAUACAGAGGUUGUGGGCUGCAAGGAUUUCCGAGUCCUCAACUGUAUAUUUUGGGCACUUGCACAGUGCAUACAUGCCUUCAGUUACUGUCGCCCUGUGCUUUGUAUUAAGGGCAAACCACUAUGUGGGAGAUAUCAAGGGGUGCUGUUGACUGCCCUUGCGUUUGAUGCUAAUGAUUGCCUCGUUCCAGUAGCAUUUGCUAUUGCUGAGAGAGAGACAAAGGAAAGCUGGCUUUGGUUUCUUAGGAAUUUGAAGCGAUCAGUUGUGAAGGAGCGCUCUGGUGUCUGCAUUAUCCAUGACUGUAAAGUGGAGUUGGUAAAUGCUGUAGAAGAUAUUCAGAAUAACCCUGAUGAACCACACCCAUGGAGGGAUGUACGAAGCCGGUGGUGUAUGCUACACCUUUCUGAAAGCUUCUUGGCAUAUUUUAGCGACAAGAAGUUGGUGAUGAUGUUCGAGAGGCUUUGCCAGCAGAUGCAACCAAGUAAGUUUGCUGACAUCUGGAAGGAGCUAGAUGAGCUGACAUCAAAAUAUAUGGCAGAGAAAGAAGGCAAUACAAGUCAGGAAAUGCAGCAGGGGUCAGGCGAGCUU